rnacentral:rRNA from 1 species
GACGAACGCUGGCGGCGUGCCUAAUACAUGCAAGUUGAGCGCUGAAGGUUGGUACUUGUACCAACUGGAUGAGCAGCGAACGGGUGAGUAACGCGUGGGGAAUCUGCCUUUGAGCGGGGGACAACAGUUGGAAACGAAUGCUAAUACCGCAUAAAAACUUUAAACACAAGUUUUAAGUUUGAAAGAUGCAAUUGCAUCACUCAAAGAUGAUCCCGCGUUGUAUUAGCUAGUUGGUGAGGUAAAGGCUCACCAAGGCGAUGAUACAUAGCCGACCUGAGAGGGUGAUCAGCCACAUUGAGACGGAGACACGGCCCAAACUCCUACGGGAGGCAGCAGUAGGGAAUCUUCGGCAAUGGACGAAAGUCUGACCGAGCAACGCCGCGUGAGUGAAGAAGGUUUUCGGAUCGGAAAACUCUGUUGGUAGAGAAGAACGUUGGUGAGAGUGGAAAGCACAUCAAGUGACGGUAACUACACAGAAAGCGACGGCUAACUACGUG